rnacentral:lncRNA from 1 species
GGUUCUGUAUAGUUACCGUAGUGGUACUGAUUUGUAACCCAAAGUUAUAUAAAUAAAUAAAAAGAAGUUAAAAAAAAAAAAAAGUUCCAGCGAAUCAUCGGAUAGAAACAACUCAUAUGUAUUAAGCAUGUUUAUGUACAAGAAUGUAUCUAAGAAGGUAUCUACAUUCUGUAACAAUGAAUAUCAAUAUUUAGGCCUAUUUUCUGUCGACGAAUUUGUUUAAGGCCCAUCAAAUGCGUUGCUAGGAAUACAAUAACGAAUAGUGGAAUACACGACCAAGUUGAGCAAACGC